CCCCAACUGAGGCCAUAGGAUGGCCGCCUCCUUACAGCUGGGGCUGAGGGCCCCAGGCCAGGAAAAGGGGGCUUAAUUCACCAUGAAGCUGUGUGUACAGUUCAAAAGCAUAUCUCUUGGUCUCUAAUUUGUCCUUGUUGUUCGGCUUACAAGGAAUGGAAGAUCAUUUCCUCCAUUUACACCUUCAUCAUCUGACUCUCAGACAGGAAAACCGGCCACUGAUUGAAGUGCCCCGGAGAAACCCAGCUCCUCUCAGGGUCGGUCUGUUGUGAUGAAUCCAGACAUGUACAAGCUCCCUCAACGGAGAGCUGAAGCAGCUAUAUACUGCUAUCACACGGGCCCGGGUCAACCUCUGGAUCUUUGAUGAAACCCAGAGAAGCGGGCUCCUGCUUUCAAAUAUUUCAUGAGAAGAAAUUUUGUCCAGGUUGUGAAAGACAGAUGAAAAUAAAGACUUUGAUGACAGCAUGUUUGUUAAGACCUCAACACCUGAGGAAUGGAUCGCGCAGGGAGAAUAUUAUGCUAAACACCAGUGCUGGAAGGUGGCAGCCAAGUGUUACCAAAAAGGAGGUGCGUUGA
rnacentral:lncRNA from 1 species